GCCAAGUUUUGGAACGAAAGAAAGGGUGUGUUUUCGUGGGAACUGGGAAGUUUUGAUCCCUGUCCUGAGAAAUUUCAGGCUUAUUUCAUUUCAUGUGCACCAACCCAUAGGAUCUCAUUCCUGCUGCCGCUCUCUUUGAGAUUGUUCCUGCCCUGCCCACAGUGCUUCCGGCCACCAUUUUCCAAGUUGAAAAUCAAGAGUUUUGGCUCGGCGAACGCUUCGUCUUAAGACCUGGAAUCUGCAAAUCUUCAGAAUAGGCUUUCUAGAAUCGCUCCUGAAAAACAGUACUGAGAAGAUAUGCAUUUUUGGAUCAUUUAUUUGGCCCAUCAUUAAUAAAAUGUACAUAAAGUCAAAAUGCAGUCCUGUUUAGCAAGAAGGAAUCUCUUCAAUCCCCAUAACUUUUUAUGUCAGAAUUCAGGAAAAAGAACAUAGGUUGCGAGUGAUGUAAAAGAUGUGAUGAGAGAAAAUCAGCACUAGUAUACAUCAUUAUAGCAAUUUUAACACGGGAAAACAAACCACUCCAGACAGUUGAUGAAUGGCUUCAAUUGCUUUUAUCUCAUUCAGCUCUGAUUUUAUUGAUGGUUGGCUGUGUGUAUCCCUUUAAUCCAAACUAAGGUUUAAUGGCCUUUCUCUCUCCUCUCCCUUUCAGGACUUUUAUAUUCUCCAGUGCUUUGAGGAUCUGACUGAUUUCCUAGCUGUAUUCUCAUUACUCCACUGAUAGUAUCAAGUGUUUCCUAAAUUCCCAAGCUGUAUCUGUUGACCCAGCUCUCUGUAAAUACUGACUUUAUUUCUGAUUGUAGGGUAUAUGUGGAGGGAAAGAGUCGGGGGUCAGGAGUCAGAGGAUCUGGGGUCUACUCCCAGUUCUGUCACAUGGUUUUGCUUUGCAUAAGGCCUAAUAUUUCCAUUUCGACCCUUUCCAACCAAACCACCUUGCGUCACCGAGGUCCCUUUUGAAACUAACUUUCAGUCACACCCUUCCCAUGAAGAAAGCAGGUAAUAGUACACCAAACUUCACAUAAAUAAUAGAUGGAAUGUAGAUUGCAUUUCUAAUUUGGUGGGAGGCAGAGAGCUGUCAAACAGGAGUCUGUGCAAUAAGAAAUGGACUGGAAUAACUAUCUGUACAUAGCGAUCUUGAUAGAAGUACUCAGUGCGGCAAAACUUUCUUUUAUGUUUGGCACACAGAGACAAAUUAGAUGCUUUAUCUGUCACAGUUGCCUAUUUGAUAUCUGAAUGAGUUAUAUAACUUAAAACAAAUAAAGGAAAGA